rnacentral:rRNA from 1 species
GAUGAACGCUGGGGGUGUGCUUAACACAUGCAAGUCGAACGGAAAGGCUCCUGCUUGCAGGGGUACUCGAGUGGCGAACGGGGGCGUAACACGUGGGCGAUCUGCUCUGCACUUCGGGAUAAGCCUGGGAAACGGGGCCUACUAUCGGACAGGACGCUGGCUUGGAUGCCAUUGUGGAAAGUUUUGCGGUGUGAGAUGGGCUCGCGGCCUAUCAGCUUGUUGGUGGGGGAAGGGGCUACCAAGCCGUCGGCGGGUAGCCGGCCUGAGAGGGUGUACGGCCACCUUGCGCCUGCGGUACGGCGCAGACUCGUAUGGGAGACAGCAGGGGGGAGUAUUGCACAAUGAGAGCAAGCCUGUUGCAGCGGCGCCGCGUGGGGGAUGACGGCCUUCGGGUAGUGAACUCCUUUCGCUUGGAACGAAGCUCUAGUGACGGUACCUGGAGAAGAAGCACCGGCUAACUACGUG